GUAAUCGGCAAAACGUUCGAAGCUAGCCGGCAUCCGCCGGGUCAACAGCCGGAUCCAGAGCUAGUCAUCGCGUUUAGUGACGUACGUGUGGUACUUGAGUCUCUUGACGGCUGCUUGCGUGUACUCCACUGAACAGGGAAAUAAACUCGCUGAAGUAGCAGCUUUGUCAUUACCCCUGGGGAAAACCAAGUGCAAAUGAGAAGAAUGGAGAACGAUGUGCAUUCGUCAUAGGAAUUUUUGCUGGCAUGGUUUCACUUUAGCCGGUGUUAUCGUUACUCGGGAGAAUGCUUUCCAGGCAGCUGCAGCGUUGACGGCGCACGGUUGGUAUUUGCGGAGUUGGCCAGUGGAAAUCAAUGUUCGGAAUGUGAUGAAUGCGUGCCUGGUAGCGGUACUUUGGAUCGUUAAUGCGCGCGUUGAGUCAAAGCGCUCCGCAAAGUUGUUGACACGAUUUUGUCGGUGCCGAAGAUACCACAACCUGAGUUUCAGCACAUUUCCACAAGGGGAGAAUGCAUGGUUGCUGUAUGUGAAGAAUGAACCCGUUUCCUCUGACGCAACACUUAUAAAUUAGGCUA